UAUCUAACCCUCAACUAGUACAUGGACACAUUGGCCCUUCCUCCGACCCUCAAAUGCGAACUGAAUUUACUUCAGUUCCAUCGCCUUCGGUUCCACCUUCUUCUUCAACGCAACACUCGAAUUAUGAAGAAGAUACCCGAUUCAUGAUAGCCCCAUUUGGAGAUUCGUAAGUAUUUCAUUUUUUUAAAUAUAUGUGAAUUAUUAUGGAUGUCAACUGAAUUGUCUGUAUGCUUUACGGAUGCUACGUAUGUUGAAAUAAGUUAUAACCCAUUUGCAGAUUCAUGGAUUCUACGCAUGUUGUGAGGAGACUUAAUAAAAUAAUCGAUAACUAUUGGAUGGGGCAGUUUAGUAGUUGGACCACUGCUCCAAAAGAAGUAAAGGAAUUGUGGUGGAAUGAGUUCAAGCGGAAGUUCAGGUGGGAUGAAGCGGAAGAGAAAGAAGUUAAAAGAAUUUUUAAGAAGAAAGCCGGUGAUCACAUGCGAAAUGUGAUGAAUAGAGCAAAGAGAAGAUAAGAAAAGCCGGAUUUUAUUACAGCUGACAAUUGGGCGGAAAUCAAAAGAAUUUGGGACACCGAAAAGCAUAAGCAAAUCAGUGAAAUUAAUAAGAAGAAUCGAGCUUCUAGUUCUAGUGAAGGGUCUGCCACAUAUGCUGGGGGCUCUAUUAAUAUCAGGGAGCAUAGAAAAAGAAUGGCAGAUGAAUUGGGGACGGAACCAACCUUUAUGGCUACAUUUGAACGCACCUUUCAGAAAAAAAA